rnacentral:tRNA from 1 species
GCCCGAAUGGUGAAAUUGGUAGACACGCUAGACUUAGGAUCUAGUGCCUUUGGCGUGGGGGUUCAAGUCCCUCUUCGGGCACCA